rnacentral:rRNA from 1 species
CCUACGGGAGGCAGCAGUGGGGAAUAUUGCACAAUGGGGGAAACCCUGAUGCAGCGACGCCGCGUGAGUGAAGAAGUAUUUCGGUAUGUAAAGCUCUAUCAGCAGGGAAGAAAAUGACGGUACCUGAAUAAGAAGCCCCGGCUAACGACGUGCCAGCAGCCGCGGGAAUACGUAGGGGGCAAGCGUGAUCCGGAUUUACUGGGUGUCAAGGGAGCGUAGACGGCAGCAUAAGUCUGGAGUGAAAUGCCGGGGCUUAACCCCGGAACUGCUUUUGAAACUGUGCAGCUAGAGUGCAGGAGGGGUAAGUGGAAUUCCUAGUGUAGCGGUGAAAUGCGUAGCUAUUAGGAGGAACCCCAGUGGCGAAGGCGGCUUACUGGACUGUAACUGACGUUGAGGCUCGAAAGCGUGGGGCGCAAACAGGAUUAGAUACCCUAGUAGUC